GCUGGGGCUGUGAAGACAUAGGACAGGGAUGAUCUUCUCAUGAACUGCCGUUACAUUCUGGACACUUCCCUGCUUCCGUGGAGCUUGGAUCAUGAACCCCGUGGCAUCAAAACUGCCAGGUAUCUCUCUCUAUCCAGAACCUCGUGCCUGACACUAGAUGGGUGCCACGAGAUGCUCAAUAAAUGGUAGCUGUUUGUAUGUCGCUUUGAACGCCUCACAGCAUUUUUCAUCGUUUGAGUCUCCUGUAUUCUUACAAGAAGCCUCAGGCAAAUGGGCGGUAUUCCCGUUUUACAAGCAGAAGCUGAGAGUGGUUUCCAAGUGACUUCCCCAGUGCGGUGGGUUAGGGGGAAACCGACUGCAUCUGACAGAGGAGGCACAGUGC